rnacentral:rRNA from 1 species
CGGACGGGUGAGUAACACGUGGAUAGCCUACCUAUAAGACUGGGAUAACUUCGGGAAACCGGAGCUAAUACCGGAUAAUAUAUUGAACCGCAUGGUUCAAUAGUGAAAGACGGUUUUGCUGUCACUUAUAGAUGGAUCCGCGCCGCAUUAGCUAGUUGGUAAGGUAACGGCUUACCAAGGCAACGAUGCGUAGCCGACCUGAGAGGGUGAUCGGCCACACUGUAACUGAGACACGGUCCAG